UACGAAGGGGGCUAGCGUUGUUCGGAAUUACUGGGCGUAAAGCGCACGUAGGCGGAUUGUUAAGUUAGGGGUGAAAUCCCAGGGCUCAACUCUGGAACUGCCUUUAAUACUGGCAAUCUCGAGUCCGAGAGAGGUGAGUGGAAUUCCGAGUGUAGAGGUGAAAUUCGUAGAUAUUCGCAAGAACACCAGUGGCGAAGGCGGCUCACUGGCUCGAUACUGACGCUGAGGAGCGAAAGCGUGGGGAGCGAACAGGA
rnacentral:rRNA from 1 species